AAGGAUCCCUUUUUGCUGAUCAACCAGUUAUUUGUACACUAAUUUGAUUUCACAUCCGUCAUGUUAAUACCAAUUCUUAUGUAUUCGUGGAGAAAGGCUAAAUUGGACUGUCACAAAAUGAGUAAAUACCUUGAUACAGAGUGAGGGCAGAUUCUGACUUGGAUGCAACAGACCUUGAAGGAGAUUAAGACAUAACUCGAUUAGAACCUUUCAUCCUUUCAUUCUUGUGUGUGCAGAAAUUGAGUCUAAACAAAUUCUAAUGGAAAUUAAGCAGUUCAACUACGAGCAUGAUUUCACCACCAAAAGCUUCUCAAUCCACCCAUUGACCAAUCACCAAGAAACAUAAAAUAUGCAUACAUACAUACAUACAUACAUAUAUAGAUAUAUCAGCUCUUUUAGCUUCAUAUCAAAGUAUCAAAGAGUUCAUAAACAGCCCAACUUUCAGAAAUCAACUCAUCACUUGAACUACAUACAUUACACAGUAAAGAGCACCCAAUAAAACUAAUUGCACACACACACACACACACACACACACACACACACAUAUACAGAUCUGAAACAUGGGAUCCGUCCAAAGAUGGCUAUUUUUUCGAAGAGGAUACCUAAUUCGAUAACUGAAUUUGGGAAAAUUACCUGGCCCACCUGCAUAAGUAAUAUCUGGCUAAGAAGGUGGCAAUCUCAGGACUGCUACCCGCCGUACGAACAUAGGGAGGGGAGCGCGAACCAAUUUUAGAGCGCAGCGCCGACGGCGAAGGUACUCGUGAGACAGCGCGGCAGCAGUCGAGCUGAGAGGUCAGGGAGGGGAGCGCGACGAACACAGGGAGGGGAGCGCGAAAGCCUCACCAAUUUUAGAGCCCAGCGCCGACGGCGAAGGCGCUCGUGAGAGAGAGCGGCAGCAGUCGAGCCGAGGUCAGGGCUCAACCCUUGUCUUCGUCGUGUGCGUGUGAAUGAGUAGGUGAGAACAGGGGAUGACGAUUGCCUCGCCAAUUUCAGAGGCGGCGGCAGCCAGCCUCGCCGGAGCUAAUCGUGGCGGAGAUCCUUGAGGUGACAACAUUUUGGAAGAAGAUCUAGGGCACGAACUGAGAAAUUGAGGGAUGAGAAGGAGAGGGGUGAAAAUCUGCUGAGAGAUGAGGAGAAAUGGAGGCACGGCUUCGCUGGAUCCAGGCACCGUGGCCGACGACGCCGGAGAAGAGAAGGAGGGCGGGNGCAGCAAUCUUAAUCAAUUUUUGGUUGUUUUAACACUUUCUUUCUUCAAGUGUAAAUUGUCAAGACCAAUCUUCAACACUCAAUCAAUAUGGAUAUCAAAUAUACAUAGCGCAUUUUUUCACUCAAAAAUAGAUUUCUCAUGAGAUAGAAGGAUAGAGCGUCAUGCAUCGAACGUCUUAUGUAUAUUGAGAUGGGUGGCUAUAUAGCUAGAGUGGGAGUUACUUCAUUAAAUCUAGCUCCAUAUUUCCAUGCAAAAAAACUGGGAAUCUUGAUUAGGAUAUGCUAAUUACAAAGGCAAUAUUUUUGGUUGAAUGAAGCAUCAAUUUCAAAGUAAUAGUUCCAUACGUGCAAGCAUGAACCAUAGGCAGCCUUAGCUUUCAAUACUCAACAAGCAAGCUAGCUCCUAUGUCACAAUAACCAUUUUUAUAUAAUACACAUAUAUAUACAAUCUCUCUCUCUACUCGUCUCCCCAUAAACAAAAUUUCAAGAGGGUAAGACAGAAUAUAAUACUCCCUCCGUCCACGAAAUGAGUACCCAUAUUUCCUUUUUCGUCCGUCCACGAAAUGAGUAUCCAUUUCCCUUUUUGGCAAGUGUACCCCACACAUCUCUUUAAUUAAUACACUCAAAAAGUGGGACCCUUAAACUAUUUACACUACACUCCAUACAUUUCUUAAAACCCGUGCCGUCCACAAAUGGGUACUCAUUUCGUGGACGGAGGGAGUACAAAUUAAACUUAAAGAGUUUUAAGAGCAGUGGUCCAACUGUGGUGGAGUACAUGCAUAAAUGUAGGAGAACUAAGUGGAUAGAGUUGCAGAUUGAUAAAGGAAACUCGGAAUAUUCCAACAGCUAAACUUUUCCCUUUUCUCACUUUUGUGUUUAAACUAGCUUCACUAAUUUAAUUUCUUUCUUGAUUUAUAUAGAAGUAAGAAGCUGUCACCAAGGAUCCCUUUUUUGUCUGAUCAACCAGUUAUUUGUACACUAAUUUGAUUUCACAUCCGUCAUGUUAAUACCAAUUCUUAUGUAUUCGUGGAGAAAGGCUAAAUUGGACUGUCACAAAAUGAGUAAAUACCUUGAUACAGAGUGAGGGCAGAUUCUGACUUGGAUGCAACAGACCUUGAAGGAGAUUAAGACAUAACUCGAUUAGAACCUUUCAUCCUUUCAUUCUUGUGUGUGCAGAAAUUGAGUCUAAACAAAUUCUAAUGGAAAUUAAGCCGUUCAACUACGAGCAUGAUUUCACCACCAAAAGCUUCUCAAUCCACCCAUUGACCAAUCACCAAGAAACAUAAAAUAUGCAUACAUACAUACAUACAUACAUAUAUAGAUAUAUCAGCUCUUUUAGCUUCAUAUCAAAGUAUCAAAGAGUUCAUAAACAGCCCAACUUUCAGAAAUCAACUCAUCACUUGAACUACAUACAUUACACAGUAAAGAAGCACCCAACUAAAACUAAAUUGCACACACACACACACACACACACACACACACACACAUAUACAGAUCUGAAACAUGGGAUCCGUCCAAAGAUGGCAUUUUUUCGAAGAGGAUACCUAAUUCGAUAACUGAAUUUGGGAAAAUUUACCUGGCCCACCUGCAUAAGUAAUAUCUGGCUAAGAAGGUGGCAAUCUCA
rnacentral:lncRNA from 1 species